UGAAAUACAACUUUCAACAACGGAUCUCUUGGCUCUCGCAUCGAUGAAGAACGCAGCGAAAUGCGAUAAGUAAUGUGAAUUGCAGAAUUCAGUGAAUCAUCGAAUCUUUGAACGCACCUUGCGCCCCUUGGUAUUCCGAGGGGCAUGCCUGUUUGAGUG
rnacentral:rRNA from 1 species